rnacentral:rRNA from 1 species
UACGUAGGGUGCAGGCGUUAAUCGGAAUUACUGGGCGUAAAGGGCGCGUAGGCGGCCUGUUAAGUCGAACGUGAAAUCCCCGGGCUCAACCCGGGAACUGCGUCCGAUACUGGCAGGCUUGAAUCCGGGAGAGGGAUGCGGAAUUCCAGGUGUAGCGGUGAAAUGCGUAGAUAUCUGGAGGAACACCGGUGGCGAAGGCGGCAUCCUGGACCGGCAUUGACGCUGAGGCGCGAAAGCCAGGGGAGCAAACGGG